rnacentral:lncRNA from 1 species
UCAUUGANGAACNUACCGCCAUGGUGAAUAACCACCUCCAUAUCGCCCAUCACNCACAACAAUAUUCUACACCUACAAAUAACCCUAAAANGACAAAACACACCGCUUAUAAAACUGAUAAUGACACAACAAAAGAAAUGUAACUAUGGGGGACAUGGGGGACCACAACGCAUUAUGAAAACAGCAUAUCUUCAGACAACCCCAACCCCACAANGUACAAAGCAUCCCCACAUAACAAGAUAGACAUCACAAUAUUAAAAUCGUACUAACCUUCCACCGAUAUUAAAAUCGUCCCCUCGAAGAGCUCGAACCACUUGACG